GAGUGGGCUUGCCGGAUCACGUGGGAACUCGACAACUGCUGUUUUAGGGGCUCUCCACGCUGUUGUCCUUCUCGCUGCACCCACCUAUUUACAUCCCCGCCCGCAGUGUGGAGGACUCCAUGCCCCUCUCCCCGCCCCAGCAGCACUUAAUUUUUGUAGAUCUUUGGCGUGAUGGCCAUUUUGAGUGGGAUGAGCUGAGACCGUGGUGCAAUUUUGAACUGCGUUUUCCUAUAAUGGUGAUGCUGAGCCAGUCUUCACCGGCUUUAUGUCUAUCCGGAUACCUUCUUGGGAGAAGUUCCCAUCAGGAUCACUUGGCUUCUCGCUCCUGCUGGUCCGGCGGCGAGGACUCCUGGUUCUCAUCCGGCUCCCCAGGUCCAGUUCCUGACAGGGAACCACGACUGUCUUCAGGACCGCUCACUGCUCUCUCUGUCCGAGAUCAUGGUCAUCGUUUUCGUCACAGAGACUGGAAAGGGCUCAGCUGCUGCCGCUAGCUUUGUCCUUGAGUGUCUGGGGGACAACAAAGCUUCAGCUUCACUCCACUUGACAGACACCAGCUUCCAGCCCAGAGGCCCCUCCAUCUCCUUCCUCAAAUCCCGCUGAGAGACAAGAACCCCAAACAUCUUCACUGGGAGGCUGAGGGCAAAGGAUCUGUUCUGAGGACUGCCUGGAGUCUCUGCAUCACCAGCAUCUUGAUGUGAAACUGCAGUAAUCUGAAAGAGACAAAUUUAACAAGAGCCACAGACCAGGAAUAUGAUCAAAGUGGAAUAAAGUCCUGAACAUAUCGGAACCUCAGACCAUUUUCCUGUGUCAGUAAAGAUGCCCAGUUUUAGGCAUGUUUUUCCCCCCCGAUCCACCCAUUUAAAUAAAGGCCAGACACUGUCACAG
ensembl:lncRNA